rnacentral:rRNA from 1 species
GAUGAACGCUGGCUACAGGCUUAACACAUGCAAGUCGAGGGGAAACGACGGGGAAGCUUGCUUCCCCGGGCGUCGACCGGCGCACGGGUGAGUAACGCGUAUCCAACCUGCCUCUGACUGAGGGAUAACCCGUCGAAAGUCGGCCUAAUACCUCAUGGUAUCGUCUGCGGGCAUCCAACGACGAUUAAAGAUUUCAUCGGUCAGGGAUGGGGAUGCGUCUGAUUAGCUUGUUGGCGGGGUAACGGCCCACCAAGGCUACGAUCAGUAGGGGUUCUGAGAGGAAGGUCCCCCACAUUGGAACUGAGACACGGUCCAAACUCCUACGGGAGGCAGCAGUGAGGAAUAGUGGUCAAUGGGCGAGAGCCUGAACCAGCCAAGUAGCGUGCAGGAAGACGGCCCUAUGGGUGGUAAACUGCUUUUAUGCGGGGAUAAAGUGAGGGACGUGUCCCUCAUUGCAGGUACCGCAUGAAUAAGGACCGGCUAAUUCCGUG